CCCUUAGAUGUCCUGGGCCGCACGCGCGUUACACUGAUGCAUUCAACGAGUCUAAAACCUGGUCUGAUAGGGCUGGGUAAUCUUUUGAAAGUGCAUCGUGAUUGGGAUAGAUGAUUGCAAUUCUUCAUCUUCAACGAGGAAUGCCUAGUAAACGCAAGUCAUCAGCUUGCAUUGAUUACGUCCCUGCCCUUUGUACACACCGCCCGUCGCUCCUACCGAUUGAAUGAUCCGAUGAAUACCAUGGAUUGAGAGUACGAAUGGGUUCGCUCAUUUCUGCUGCUCGAGAAGUGGAGUAAAUCUUAUCAUUUAGAGGAAGGAGAAGUCGUAACA
rnacentral:rRNA from 1 species